rnacentral:rRNA from 1 species
CCUACGGGUGGCAGCAGUGGGGAAUAUUGGGCAAUGGGCGCAAGCCUGACCCAGCAACGCCGCGUGAAGGAAGAAGGCUUUCGGGUUGUAAACUUCUUUUCUCAGGGACGAAGCAAGUGACGGUACCUGAGGAAUAAGCCACGGCUAACUACGUGCCAGCAGCCGCGGUAAUACGUAGGUGGCAAGCGUUUUCGGAUUUACUGGGUGUAAAGGGAGUGUAGGCGGGGACGCAAGGCAGAUGUGAAAACCCCGGGCUCAACCUGUGGCCUGCAUUUGAAACUGUGUUUCUUGAGUACUGGUGAGGCAGACGGAAUUGCUAGUGUAGCGGUGAAAUGCGUAGAGAUUAGGAGGAACACCAGUGGCGAAGGCGGUCUGCUGGACAGCAACUGACGCUGAGGCGCGAAAGCGUGGGGAGCAAACAGGAUUAGAUACCCUUGUAGUC